rnacentral:rRNA from 2 species
GUGGUCCCACCUGACCCCAUGCCGAACUCAGCAGUGAAACGCCGUAGCGCCGAUGGUAGUGUGGGGUCUCCCCAUGUGAGAGUAGGGAACUGCCAGAC